AAUACUUCUUACCUAUAAAUGUGAUAUUCUGUGCUCUCAUGGUCGCGAGAGAAGUUGAGGAAAGAGAGAAAGUUGUAUAAUAAUUGUUGGGAUAACAUAUUUUGGUAUACCGAUCUUUAGAUACGAGCUUAUGGAAAGUGGCAACAUUGUGAAUGCACAACCUGAAUUAUCAGGCAUAAGUAAGAAAUUUUGACUUUUUAUUUUAUUUUAGUGAAAACUUGUUUUGGUUAUAAUGUUUUAGUUUUUGUUCGGCAGUUGAUGGAUCCAAGAGUUAUAUGUACGAGCAGUUAUGGAAACUCUGUGCGGGGCCUUUGUGUGAUAUUCCAAAACUUGGAGAAAAGAUUUAUUACUUUCCUCAAGGCAAUAUAGAGCUUGUGAGUUCUCUCUCUUUUUUUU
rnacentral:sRNA from 1 species